UACGGGGGGGGCAAGCGUUGUUCGGAAUUACUGGGCGUAAAGGGCUCGUAGGCGGCCAACUAAGUCGGAUGUGACAUCCCCAGGCUCAACCUGGGAACUGCAUCCGAUACUGGAUGGCUUGAAUUCGGGAGAGGGAUGCAGAAUUCCGGGUGUAGCGGUGGAAUGCGUAGAGAUCCGGAAGAACACCGGUGGCGAAGGCGGCCUGCUGGGCAGUUUAGCUGACACUGAGGCGCGACAGCGUGGGGAGCAAACAGG
rnacentral:rRNA from 1 species